ACCAAUAUUUGCCCAUAACUUCUUAUUUUAUGUCUGUUUGAUGUCAUCAUUUUAAAAAUAUUGGAUCAGAUGAUACUCAAUACUCAAGUAGCCUUCUACUCAGAUACUUUUUUACCCUUACUUGAGUAAUAAACCCUAUAUCAGGAAAAUAGUGUCCUCAGUUUGUGUCUAAAUUUUACCUAAAAUGUGUUAUUUUGUAAUUAUGUUGUUUAUUUGUUUACAUAUUUCCCCUUUAGUCUUUAAAAUACCAAUAUUUGCCCAUAACUUCUUAUUUUAUGUCUGUUUGAUGUCAUCAUUUUAAAAAUAUUAGACCAGAUGAUACUCAGUACUCAAGUAGACUUCUACUCAGAUACUUUUUUACCCUUACUUGAGUAAUAAACCCUAUAUCAGGAAAAUAUUGUCCUCAGUUUGUGUCUAAAUUUUACCUAAAAUGUGUUAUUUUGUAAUUAUGUUGUUUAUUUGUUUACAUUUUUCCCCUUUAGUCUUUAAAAUACCAAUAUUUGCCCAUAACUCCUUAUUUUAUGUCUGUUUGAUGUCAUCAUUUUAAAAAUAUUAGACCAGAUGAUGCUCAGUACUCAAGUAGCCUUCUACUCAGAUACUUUUUUACCCUUACUUGAGUAAUAAACCCUAUAUCAGGAAAAUAUUGUCCUCAGUUUGUGUCUAAAUUUUACCUAAAAUGUGUUAUUUUGUAAUUAUGUUGUUUAUUUGUUUACAUUUUUCCCCUUUAGUCUUUAAAAUACCAAUAUUUGCCCAUAACUCCUUAUUUUAUGUCUGUUUGAUGUCAUCAUUUUAAAAAUAUUAGACCAGAUGAUACUCAAGUAGCCUUCUAAUCAGAUACUUUUUUACGCUUACUUGAGUAAUAAACCCUAUAUCAGGAAAAUAUUGUCCUCAGUUUGUGUCUAAAUUUAGCCUAAAAUGUGUUAUUUUGUAAUUAUGUUGUUUAUUUGUUUACAUUUUUCCCCUUUAGUCUUUAAAAUACCAAUAUUUGCCCAUAACUCCUUAUUUUAUGUCUGUUUGAUGUCAUCAUUUUAAAAAUAUUAGACCAGAUGAUACUCAGUACUCAAGUAGCCUUCUACUCAGAUACUUUUUUACCCUUACUUGAGUAAUAAACCCUAUAUCAGGAAAAUAGUGUCCUCAGUUUGUGUCUAAAUUUUACCUAAAAUGUGUUAUUUUGUAAUUAUGUUGUUUAUUUGUUUACAUAUUUCCCCUUUAGUCUUUAAAAUACCAAUAUUUGCCCAUAACUUCUUAUUUUAUGUCUGUUUGAUGUCAUCAUUUUAAAAAUAUUAGACCAGAUGAUACUCAGUACUCAAGUAGACUUCUAGUCAGAUACUUUUUUACCCUUACUUGAGUAAUAAACCCUAUAUCAGGAAAAUAGUGUCCUCAGUUUGUGUCUAAAUUUUACCUAAAAUGUGUUAUUUUGUAAUUAUGUUGUUUAUUUGUUUACAUUUUUCCCCUUUAGUCUUUAAAAUACCAAUAUUUGCCCAUAACUCCUUAUUUUAUGUCUGUUUGAUGUCAUCAUUUUAAAAAUAUUAGACCAGAUGAUACUCAGUACUCAAGUAGCCUUCUACUCAGAUACUUUUUUACCCUUACUUGAGUAAUAAACCCUAUAUCAGGAAAAUAUUGUCCUCAGUUUGUGUCUAAAUUUUACCUAAAAUGUGUUAUUUUGUAAUUAUGUUGUUUAUUUGUUUACAUUUUUCCCCUUUAGUCUUUAAAAUACCAAUAUUUGCCCAUAACUCCUUAUUUUAUGUCUGUUUGAUGUCAUCAUUUUAAAAAUAUUAGACCAGAUGAUACUCAAGUAGCCUUCUAAUCAGAUACUUUUUUACGCUUACUUGAGUAAUAAACCCUAUAUCAGGAAAAUAUUGUCCUCAGUUUGUGUCUAAAUUUAGCCUAAAAUGUGUUAUUUUGUAAUUAUGUUGUUUAUUUGUUUACAUUUUUCCCCUUUAGUCUUUAAAAUACCAAUAUUUGCCCAUAACUCCUUAUUUUAUGUCUGUUUGAUGUCAUCAUUUUAAAAAUAUUAGACCAGAUGAUACUCAGUACUCAAGUAGCCUUCUACUCAGAUACUUUUUUACCCUUAUUUGAGUAAUAAACCCUAUAUCAGGAAAAUAGUGUCCUCAGUUUGUGUCUAAAUUUUACCUAAAAUGUGUUAUUUUGUAAUUAUGUUGUUUAUUUGUUUACAUAUUUCCCCUUUAGUCUUUAAAAUACCAAUAUUUGCCCAUAACUUCUUAUUUUAUGUCUGUUUGAUGUCAUCAUUUUAAAAAUAUUAGACCAGAUGAUACUCAGUACUCAAGUAGACUUCUAGUCAGAUACUUUUUUACCCUUACUUGAGUAAUAAACCCUAUAUCAGGAAAAUAGUGUCCUCAGUUUGUGUCUAAAUUUUACCUAAAAUGUGUUAUUUUGUAAUUAUGUUGUUUAUUUGUUUACAUAUUUCCCCUUUAGUCUUUAAAAUACCAAUAUUUGCCCAUAACUUCUUAUUUUAUGUCUGUUUGAUGUCAUCAUUUUAAAAAUAUUAGACCAGAUGAUACUCAGUACUCAAGUAGACUUCUAAUCAGAUACUUUUUACCCUUACUUGAGUAAUAAACCCUAUAUCAGGAAAAUAUCGUCCUCGGUUUGUGUCCUUCCAGUGAGCUUUGCAGAUGUGGGAAAAUGUCAUCAGGCAGUAAUCAUUGUUAAAUUCAUAAUUAUUCUCGGAGAGAGACCAACUCUUAUCUGCCCCUGGGAGCCCCGUAAUGCAUAGCGUCAUUUCAACAUGGCGGUGUCCGCGACACGGUUUAUAUGCAGGUAGCGGCGCUGCGGCUGCUUUAUAUAGCGACUCGUUGCGUUCUCCCUCAACCCAAAUCCUCGGAUCACGCAUUUUAGCUAAAACGCUAACGUUAGCUUGCCUUGCGUUGACUGUGGAGUUGUGGGUGAUGGUCACGCUGAUGUGUCAUGAGAUUUGAAGCGUUGCUGCCUUUCACAGACACUUUUUCUGCACGUGCUGCAAACAGGAUAGCCGUCUUCUAUCAGCUGUCCCUCGGCAUUCUUCAAAUAUCUAAAAGAUGCCCGUACUUCCCACUUUGUCUUCUUUGAGGGAUAAAAAAUGUCCUCCUGAGCGCUGCCGUCUCCUCCUUUGGCCAUUAUUUCAGCUUUAGCUUCAAGAAAGUUUUGGUUGUAAACAACAAAGCGCGCAUGUGCCGCCGGUGUUCUGAGAAAACAUCCUACUUUGGCCAAACGUCCUACCCAUAGGAUCAUUUAACGGUGUUUUAGAUGACACAAACCCUUACCCUAACCCUAACCCAAAAAAUCAAGUAUCAACGUCAAUAACUUACCUAUUUUCCUGCAAAUAUGACAACAGAGUAGCAUUCCCUUUUUGUGUUGUGCGCAUGCGCGCACAUGCUCAGGAACAACGGGUAGGACGGUUUACCGGGUAGGAGAAAUUCCCAGAACACCGGUCCUGCAACUUCAGCAGGUGAUACGGUGGCUGGUAAGGGUCACCGCGCCUACACCGCAGCCACGGUAAACCCACCAAGAUAAUAAAAUUUUUUUAAAAACAAGACGGUUAUUAUUAUUGUCAACUUUUUUUUACCGGGGUUUACCGCUACACCGGUUACCGUGACAACCCUACCUGAUCGGUCUGCUUUGAUCUAUUUUGAAAACUCCGAUCAAAACCGAUAGGGGCGCUAUCGGCCGAUUGGGAUCAAAUGCCGAUCCAUCGGUGCAUCCCUAGUAGACACGUUAGUCACUGCUUUUAACACUGGAGGUUAUUGAGGAUCAAAUUAAAUUCACAGAACUUCUGGUCUGAAGGUUGCUAUGACUCACAUUAACUUUAGUUUGGUCUCUUCUGUCUCACACAAACACACACACACACACACACACACACACACACACACACACACCAAUGAGCCUAAGCGUACAGCCAGAGCGAUGUUGGUGUGGCCAUCACCCUCAUCUCAUUGCUGUGAGUGACCUGAAAAGGAGCAAGGCGGCCUACAAACUGGACCAGAAUAACAGUUAACUGCAGUAUUUAGCGUAGUAUGUGAGAGUUUUAGCCUGAAGCCUAAAACAAGUAGCCUAGUGAACUAGACCAAAUUCUUGCUUUGCAAAGUUUGGUCUAGGCAUGCUCCACUGGAACCUCAGCAGCUCCUACCAGGACUCUGGCUAGCCAGUCACAGCUCUCUAGAGGGGUUUCAAACACAUAAAGAGCUGUGAUUGGUCCAUAAUGGUGGGCCAAUCAUAGUGCUCUAUCUGCUUAGUGAACAAAUCACAGAGCUUUAUCUGCUUUGUGGGCCAAUCAGGGCACUCUAUAUGCCUGGUGGGUGGGAUGAUGCAACAGAGUGAAACAAGAGUCACAUUCAUUGUCCAGUGGAAUGUGGAGAUCAUUUGAAAGACAACGGUAGAACCCGCCCCACAACCGAGAGCCGUCAAUGGAGCGUGGCCAGACUAAAUAAUACAUUUAUUUAGUCUGGCUUGCCAGCCUAUAAAACAAGGGAAGUUUGGCCUCAUUUAACAUCAGACUGUGAGGGAAAGCAGGAGUUUGUCUUUUUUUCUGGCCGUGACAUAAGCGUCUUUCAGCGCGUCUCAUCUGGAUGUUUAAUAAUUAGAAUUUAGGCUUCUUAUUAGACAUUCUUAUUAUCAUUACUGGAAUGAAAAAACAUUUCCGCAUGCCAUCUGAGACAGAAUCUUGUAUGUCCCAGCUUGGAUUCAAACCCGGGUCCUUGGCGUGUUAAGUAAUCUCUUUGGCAUGUGCAGGUUGUCGCCCAGUGGAGCUACAUCUGAUUCACAACAUGCACUAUGUUGAACUACACGUAACAAAUUGUCAAAAUAAUGUAAACCCCAGAUAACUAGACAUGUAUAAAUGUAUCUGAAUGGAUUCUUAGGUAAUGUUCACUUACAUAUGUUUUACCAAUUGAAGCCGUCCUACGGUUACAGUUUUUGGCCUUCGGACCAAUAUUUGCUGGGAUGCAUGGACGUAAUUUUGGGGGGGGACAGGGGGGACAUGUCCCCCCCCCCCACUUUUUCCAAAUUCAAGUUUUGACCCCUGCACUUUUUACCAUCCAAAAACAAUAUUACGCUAUAUUAAAUUGACACUAGUUGAGCUCUAGGACCAAGCGGAAAACAACCAUUUGUGUUGAAGCCUGUUUCCCAUUAGAUCAUACUGUAAAGAUAUACCCCCCCCCCCCUUUCUAAAGUGAAAAUUACGUCCAUGCUGGGAUGCUCUAUGUUGAACUACAUGUAACUAGUUGUCAAAAUAACAAUUACACAUGUACCUGUAGACAUUUACAAAUACCUGAAUGGAUUUUUAAGAAAAUUUUUGUUACAAAUUUUUUUUUUUUUUUACAAAUUUAAGACGUCCUAACGCAAUCUUCUUCCGGCUCUUGGAGGGUGCAGACGCUUUUAUCCUCCUCUCCUCCAUAUCCUCAAGGCCUUUGUCUGUCUCUGUGUGCUGGGUGCACGGCUGCUUCUGCAGUUUUCUGGAAACUGGAAACUGAAAUUCACUUAAAUUCACUUAAUAUUUGUGACCCAGCAAAUGUGAUCACUUUUCUCUGUUAACCCAUAGUAAAGACAUUAAAGAACCAAA